rnacentral:rRNA from 1 species
CCUACGGGUGGCUGCAGUGAGGAAUAUUGGUCAAUGGGCUUACGCCUGAACCAGCCAAGUCGCGUGAGGGAAGACUGCCCUAUGGGUUGUAAACCUCUUUUGUCAGGGAGCAAUUGGCGCUACGUGUAGCGUUAUCGAGAGUACCUGGAGAAAAAGCAUCGGCUAACUCCGUGCCAGCAGCCGCGGUAAUACGGAGGAUGCGAGCGUUAUCCGGAUUUAUUGGGUUUAAAGGGUGCGUAGGCGGGCUUUUAAGUCAGCGGUGAAAGUCUGGGGCUCAACCAGAGAAUUGCCGUUGAAACUGGGAGGCUUGAGUAUGUUUGAGGCAGGCGGAAUGCGUGGUGUAGCGGUGAAAUGCUUAGAUAUCACGCAGAACCCCGAUUGCGAAGGCAGCCUGCCAAGGCAUGACUGACGCUGAUGCACGAAAGCGUGGGGAUCAAACAGGAUUAGAUACCCCAGUAGUC